rnacentral:rRNA from 1 species
UACGGAGGAUGCAAGUGUUAUCCGGAAUCACUGGGCGUAAAGAGCGUGUAGGCGGGUUAAUAAGUUUGAAGUGAAAUCCAAUGGCUCAACCAUUGAACUGCUUUGAAAACUGUUAACCUAGAAUAUGGGAGAGGUAGAUGGAAUUUCUGGUGUAGGGGUAAAAUCCGUAGAGAUCAGAAGGAAUACCGAUUGCGAAGGCGAUCUACUGGAACAUUAUUGACGCUGAGACGCGAAAGCGUGGGGAGCAAACAGG